UGGGGAAUUUUGGACAAUGGGCGAAAGCCUGAUCCAGCAAUGCCGCGUGUGUGAAGAAGGCCUUCGGGUUGUAAAGCACUUUUGUCCGGAAAGAAAUCCUUGGCUCUAAUACAGUCGGGGGAUGACGGUACCGGAAGAAUAAGCACCGGCUAACUACGUGCCAGCAGCCGCGGUAAUACGUAGGGUGCAAGCGUUAAUCGGAAUUACUGGGCGUAAAGCGUGCGCAGGCGGUUUGCUAAGACCGAUGUGAAAUCCCCGGGCUCAACCUGGGAACUGCAUUGGUGACUGGCAGGCUAGAGUAUGGCAGAGGGGGGUAGAAUUCCACGUGUAGCAGUGAAAUGCGUAGAGAUGUGGAGGAAUACCGAUGGCGAAGGCAGCCCCCCUGGGCCAAAUACUGACGCUCAUGCACGAAAAGCGUGGGGAGCAAAACAGGAUUAGAUACCCUGGUAGUCCACGCCCCUAAAACGAUGUCAACUAGUUGUUGGGGAUUCAUUUCCUUAGUAACGUAGCUAACGCGUGAAGUUGACCGCCUGGGGAGUACGGUCGCAAGAUUAAAACUCAAAUGAAUUGACGGGGUCAUAGCUG
rnacentral:rRNA from 1 species